rnacentral:tRNA from 1 species
GGUCUUAUAUUCAAUUAUGAUUUUAAAGUGCAAAUUUAAAGGUAGAGUAAUCUUAAGGCUU